UGGCUUGAUUUCCUGAAGAGUGGAUUAAGCUUGUUUCACUUUCUCUCAGAUGAGCCUACAGCAGAGAGGCUGGGCUUCUCCCCACAUUGGAGAGGUGGUCAAGAAAGGGAUUUCAUCAGAGAAGCCCUUGCCUUACAUUU